CAGCCGGCCGGUCGGCGCGACGGGCUUUCCGUCCUAGAACCAUGGCCCAGUUUGUCCGUAACCUCGCGGAGAAGGCCCCAGCGCUGGUCAGCACUGCUGUGACUUACUCGAAGCCUCGAUUGGCCACAUUUUGGCACUAUGCCAAGGUUGAGCUGGUUCCUCCAACCCCUGCUGAGAUCCCUACAGCUAUUCAGAGGUUGAAAAAAAUUAUCAAUAGUGCUCAAACUGGUAGCUUCAAACAGCUUACAGUUAAGGAAGCUCUACUGAAUGGUUUGGUGGCCACUGAGGUGUGGAUGUGGUUUUAUGUUGGCGAGAUCAUAGGCAAGCGUGGCAUCAUUGGCUAUAAUGUUUGAAGACCAGUCUUUGCUUUAUUAUUUGGGUGUUCUUGGACCAUGUGUGAGCAGACUGCUAUUUGAAUAAAAUAAGACAAUGUGUCAGAAAAAAAAAAAA